rnacentral:rRNA from 1 species
UCGAGAAUCUUCGGCAAUGGGCGAAAGCCUGACCGAGCGAUGCCGCGUGCGGGAUGAAGGCCUUCGGGUUGUAAACCGCUGUCAGUUGGGAGGAAGGACUCGUGAAGAGCGAGUUUUGACCUAUCUUCAGAGGAAGUCCGGGCUAAGUUCGUGCCAGCAGCCGCGGUAACACGAACCGGACAAACGUUAUUCGGAAUUAUUGGGCUUAAAGGGUGCGUAGGCGGCCAUGUAGGUGGGGUGUGAAAUCCCUCGGCUCAACCGAGGAACUGCGCCCCAAACCACAUGGCUAGAGGGAGACAGAGGUAAGCGGAACUGAUGGUGGAGCGGUGAAAUGCGUUGAUAUCAUCAGGAACACCGGUGGCGAAAGCGGCUUACUGGGUCUCUUCUGACGCUGAGGUACGAAAGCUAGGGUAGCGAACGGGAUUAGAUACCCCCGUAGUCC